rnacentral:lncRNA from 1 species
UGAUUCUUGAGGCAAACCUAUUUGAAAAUCCAAAACUUAUUGAUAAAUAAGGAGCCUAUAAACCAAAGAAAACAAAAUGCAUAUCUAAAGCUGGGCAUGCAAUUAGGGCUUUGCAUGAGGGAGAUAUAUUGCUAAAUCUAAAAUAAUAUAUAUAAGAUAUGUUGUAACUGCAAACCUUAAUAAAAAAAAUGGCAGUAUUUUUAUGUCAUUACCGAAGUCCUGGCUAAUAGGCUGGUGAUAUCCUCAGGGAAUAAAAUUUAACUAGCAAAGUUAAUUAUAACAUUAUCGAUACCACAUUUUCAACACCAGAAGCGCAUUUCGACAAUAUAUAUCUCUUCAGUGUUGUUGGAGGCCAAUACAUUACAAAAUCUCAAGCGUAUCGACAAAUAAGAAUAGUUUUGUUAACCAAAGACGAAAACG